CGNUCANGNGUNAACCUGCGNAACUCGAAUGAACGAACGGGGAGAUUCAUCGUCAUUCGAUGGACGGCGUUGCGGUUGCGCGAUGUGUGGCCCGCCGGUGAUUUCGGUCGCCGGUGCGAGUUGCGCACGUGCACUGUGACGUACAAUCGUCCGUCGACGGCGUGCACUUCUCCCUUAGUACUGCAUCGCGACCCGCUCGACGUCGGUCUAAGCCCCGUUCGGGAGCCCGUGGCGCUUCGCGCGACACGGACCGUGACGGACGCCGACCGUCUGUUGGGCGGUAGUGAAUAUGAAACGUGCACGCGCUUGUCGCGUCCGGCCCGACGCAAGGUCGUCGCGACGCCGCUGUUACGCCUCAGCGCGUUCAGUGUGCGUCCGGCGCCUGCUUAUCGCCGCCGUGUCGUCUCGGACGUGCACGUAUCGAGUCAGCGAUGUUUUUGUUUCGGGCACUCGCAGGACCCGUCUUGAAACACGGACCAAGGAGUCUAGCAUGUGUGCGAGUCACUAGGUAUUCGUACUAAACCGAAAGGCGUAACGAAAGUGAAGGCGCGCGCUUGACGCGCGCUCGGGGAGGAUGACGUUGACUCUCGCGGUCAGCGUCCGCACUCCCGAGGCGUCCCGUUCGCAAUCUGUCGAUGUGGGCGCGCUCAGAGCACAAAUGCUGGGACCCGAAAGAUGGUGAACUAUGCCUGGUCAGGUCGAAGUCAGGGGAAACCCUGAUGGAGGACCGUAGCGAUUCUGACGUGCAAAUCGAUCGUCGGAACUGGGUAUAGGGGCGAAGACUAUCGAACCAUC
rnacentral:rRNA from 1 species